UACGUAGGGGGCGAGCGUUAUCCGAAUUUAUUGGGCGUAAAGCGUGUGUAGGCGGUUUAUUAAGUCUAAGAUCAAAUCCUGGGGCUUAACCUCAGUUCGUUUUAGAAACUGGUAGACUUGAGUGUGGUAGAGGCAAAUGGAAUUUCUAGUGUAGCGGUUAAAUGCGUAGAUAUUAGAAGGAACACCAGUGGCGAAGGCGGUCUGCUGGGCCAUUACUGACGCUGAGACACGAAAGCGUGGGGAGCAAAUA
rnacentral:rRNA from 1 species